AGCGAACGCUGGCGGUAGGCCUAACACAUGCAAGUCGAACGGCAGCACAGUAAGAGCUUGCUCUUACGGGUGGCGAGUGGCGGACGGGUGAGGAAUACAUCGGAAUCUACUUUGUCGGGGGGGAUAACGGAGGGAAACUGACGCUAAUACCGCAUACGACCUACGGGUGAAAGCAGGGGAUCAUCGGGCCUUGCGCGAUCGAAUGAGCCGAUGUCUGAUUAGCUAGUUGGCGGGGUAAAGGCCCACCAAGCCGACGAUCCGUAGCUGGUCUGAGAGGAUGACCGGCCACUCGGGACCUGGGCACCGGCCCAACCUCCUACGGGAGGAGCCGUUGGGGAAUAUUGGACAAUGGGCGAAAUCCUGCUCCAGCCCGCCCGCGUGGGUGAGGAAGGCCUUCGGGUUUUAAAGCCCUUUUGUUGGGAAAGAAAAGCAGCAGGGUGAUACCCCGCUGUACUGACGGUACCCAACGAAUAAGCACCGGCUAACUUCGUG
rnacentral:rRNA from 1 species